CGCGCACGCCCGCGCCUGGCACACGCCCGCGGCUGGCACACGGGCUCCCCCGCGCACCCUCUCCGAGGCCGACUGGCUCGGGCCGCGGGCACAGUCACGCGCGUCCACACAUCACCCCCGCACCCGCACCACCGGCAGGGUCCUCGCCUCCGCCCCGCGCCGCGCCGCUCAGCCAAGCACCGUCUGCCCUGUGGGGGCGCAGAAAUACAUUUCACCCCAAGUGAUGGCAGUGAACUUCAGCCCCCAGAAUCUCCUUCUCCCCUUCGUGAAACAGAGCCAAGAUGACAGCAGAGGACUCCAGAACGCACUGAGAUUGUUCCUUGGCAUGACCGUCCAGACUGCACACGUUUCUUCAAGCCAUUCUCACAUCAAGUAAAACGUUGAGAGAUCAUUAUUUCUCCAAGCUUGAAAGAUGAAAGUGAGUUUGUUGACAUCAACGUGAAGGAUCGAGGGUACAAACUCGGAAUGUAAAACCAUAGAAAAUACCAUCCGGGAACACGGAAAUCAUGGCUUAUCUGGAAGCCUGUCUCCAGAGUGGCAAAUUUAGGGACUGGUUUGAGGACAGAGUGUGCCCUGUGCGCUGGGGAGGGCUGUAAAGGGCCGGGAUGCGGUGGGGGGCUUCAUAAACACACUGUACAUCACUGUCUGCCGCUGAAGCUUAAGGAUUGAUAACCUUGGGGAUGUUUCACUCUGGUUUUGCUUCCGCCUCUGCAAUGUUUGAACUUGCAUUUUCUGAGCCGUGUAAAAUGAAAAGUGUUACAUGCAUUCCCUACAGCUCUCUUACUAGUCCUGUUUACAGGACAGAAAACUGAGGCACAAGGAGGUUUGCUGAUUCGGGAUUAAUACUGGUUUUAGGUUUUGUUUCCCUCCUGGACAGCUCCUGCAUUUUUUAAACUUCCUGUCAUUGUGUCUCCCAAUCAUGGGCCAGGAAUAUGAGAAUCAGCGGUGAACUUCCAGCCCCUCCAUCUCAAAACUCUCUUCAUCUCUAAGACAUUUCAAUAGGGCUUUGCCAGUAAACAAGAAUAAACAGGGUUCAGUUUACCCAGAAGCCAAAUCCCUUGUAAUAAGUUCUGGGUCAGGUUCUCCCUAGAGCAGAGGAAUGUACAGUUGUAGUUUGAGUUGAUUUUAUUUCUUUGGGGCUUUGUUUUUUCAGUCUGUCAGGCCUUACAUCACUCCCCCAAGAGUAGCUGAAAUAUGAGAAAAGACCAUAUGGCCCCCAAAAGCCCCCAAAUCAACCAAGGUGGAUGCCACCCAGGGCCCAGCGUUGUUGGGGUGGUGGGGGGUCAAUGCCCUGCUUCAGGUAGACUCUCUGGCUAAUUCCUGUUUCCCGUGAGAAGAGCGUUAAAGACCCAUGAAUGUUUUAAAAUGAAAAGCAACCUCUUAAUAAUCAGGUUUCUCCACUCUACUAGGAUUCGAAAAAAAAAAAAAUCAGUUAAAAAAUUUUUAACUGACAAAUGUUAAAAAUUUCCUCGCUGCUAAUCAUGCUUCCCCCCACUUCCCUUUUUUUCCCUCCUCUCUCUCUUCUAACAUGAAUUUAUUUUCUAUUUGAAAGCCAAUCUUGCUGGUUAUUAGAUAUUCUCCCUGCUGUCACUAUCAGUAAAUUAUUAAACAGCUGACCAAGCUUUGUUUUAAAAUGAUUCUCUUAUGAAGCUCGGUGAUAUAUUUGCUAUGAAUACUGAAUGGUGCCACGGUCUCUAAGGACACGUGAAUGAUUCCUAUUUACUACCUUGAGCAAAAUGUGUGUGCAAUUAGUGGGCAGAACUUGACUUGAAUCACAGUUACUAGGGAUGCCUGAAGCUCAUUUACAUGGAGCUCCCUUUACUCAUUACACUCCUGCCUGGGAGAAGCGUGUUCAGAUUCUAGGCCAGGCCACGAAAUAGCAUAUAGACUUGUCUUUUGUCAUUCCUCACCUCCUUUCUUGUCUUGCCACCGCUGAGCCUUGACAAACCUGUGGAAUCCCUUGCUUGUUUCAUGGAGCAGCAGGUUCUAAGUGAAUUUUUGCUUAAAGAAAAUAAACCUGAUUGA